GACAGAGGGUGCAAACGUUGUUCGGAAUUACUGGGCGUAAAGCGAGUGUAGGCGGUUUGGUAAGUCGGAUGUGAAAGCCCCGGGCUCAACCCGGGAAGUGCACUCGAUACUGCCAAGCUAGAGUAUCGGAGAGGUUGGUGGAAUUCUCGGUGUAGAGGUGAAAUUCGUAGAUAUCGAGAGGAACACCGGUGGCGAAGGCGGCCUGCUGGGCAGUAGCUGACACUGAGGCGCGACAGCGUGGGGAGCAAACAGG
rnacentral:rRNA from 1 species